rnacentral:rRNA from 1 species
AUUGAACGCUGGCGGCAGGCCUAACACAUGCAAGUCGAACGAGUGGCGGACGGGUGAGUAAUGUCUGGGAAACUGCCUGAUGGAGGGGGAUAACUACUGGAAACGGUAGCUCAUACCGCAUACCAUCGGAUGUGCCCAGAUGGGAUUAGCUAGUAGGUGGGGUAACGGGUCCCCUAGGAGACGAUCCCUAGCUGGUCUGAGAGGAUGACCAGCGACACUGGAACUGUGACAAGGUCCAGACUCCUCCGGGAGGCAGCAGUGGGUAAUAUUGCACAAUGGGCGCAAGCCUGAUGCAGCCAUGCCGCGGAUAUGAAGAAGGCCUUCGGGUUGUAAAGUACUUUCAGCGGUGAGGCGGUACCCGCAGAAGAAGCACCGGCUAACUCCGUGCCAGCAGCCGCGGUAAUUC